GAAGGAUUAGUUAAUUUAUAACAUCAGAAUGUCAAACUGAAAUAAUCAAAAGGUAUCCUUCU
rnacentral:tRNA from 1 species